rnacentral:lncRNA from 1 species
CUUUCUUUCUUUCUUUCUUUCUUCUGUGGAUACAGGGACAGGAUGUGUGACAAUCUUCCACAGAAAUCAGGCAGGUCAUACACUGGAAAGCCAAUGCUUAAUAAACCAGGAAUGAGUGAAGAGAAGACACAUCGCCAUGCUUGGUCCCGGGUCCUGCUGAGAAUAUGAGUGGUGUUACCUUAAGCUGGUAAGUUUUAAACCACAGUGUACAGAUCUGGAUGCAUAGUAGAAUAACCAGAGAGCCUUUGGAAAGGGCCAACAUCCAGGCCUCCAGGAAGACUCCCUGAAGUGUGAGCCAGGCUGCUUCUAAGCGGAAGUUCCUUCAAACCAGUGACCCUUGGGCUUUAGCAUGUUUUGUACGUGGAGCACAGGUUCUUACAUCCUUGCUCUGGGAUGUGGUGAAUCUAACAAACUCCCUGUGAUGCUGAUACUGCUGGGUCUGGACCACAUGCUGACACUCCCUGCUCUGGAUCUUUACAGUUCCAAGCAUGGUCUGUGGACAACCAACCUCUGCACUGUAGUGGUGGUAUGCUAAUCCACGCUAAACUCCCCUGGCAGAUGAGCUUGCACUUCACAACCGCCCUGAUGUUGUGAUUCUUGAGUGAAAGAAGCACACACACACACACACACACACACACACACACACACACACACACACAGAGUCUUAUUUUUAAUAUGGUCUAAGCAGCUCAAUGGUUGGGCCACUCCCAGACUUCUAUAUUGCCAAGCCUCCCCUCCGAUACUCCUGGAUUAUUACUAAAACCCUUAUUCUAUCUUUGCUGCCCCAGACCCAAUCGGGGAGGGGCCCCUUGGGGCUGAUCUUUCCCGGCUCAUCCAUGAUUGUCACUCUGUCUUCUGCAGCUCUCCUGUCUGAUCUUCCUGCUUCCCUGGCAUGACAGUACUAAAUCUUUCUUCUUCUCUGGAUUCUUCCCAGGGCCAGCCCUACCUCAAAGAGUGUGGUUUGCUAUUUUUCACCUAAGCAAGAAAAGGACUAAGAGCCCACAAUCCCCUACCUCAACCAGCAUCUAUGAAGCAAGAAGAUCUCUGACUGGGAACUGUGUGGUCAUCUUUGAGAAACCACAACUGAAGCUGAGAGUAUGAGGGAUGGGGGAGGGGCACCUGCAAUUGCAGGGCUGGAGGCACAGGGAGCCCGAAGCAGCUCAGCUAUGCGGGUCCAAAGGCCUCAGUUCCCUGGGGCCUGACUCAGGCAGCCCCAGAACAGGUUUAUGUGGGUGUUUUUUUCUCUCUCCCCAUGUGUGUGUGUGUGUGUGUUUUCAUGUGUGUGUGGAGGCCAAAGGUUAAACUUGGGUGUCCUCUCCAGCCCUCCUGUAACUUGUUGUUUGAAACAGGGUUUGCUACUUUGGACUUGAACUGGUCUUUUUGGCUAGGCUAGACAGCCCAUGUGCUCCUCCAAGGAACAGCCUGUCUCUGUCCCGCUAAUGCUGGGGUCACCACCUCACACUCAGGUUCUAACGAUUGUUACAUUGAACCAUCACCCCAUCCCUGGACGCAAGAUCUUGAUGGAGAAACAUCAUACUUCAGAAAUUGAAUGGAGGAGGCUGAAAUAUGUAGAG